rnacentral:rRNA from 1 species
GUGCCAGCAGCCGCGGUAAUACGGAGGGGGCGAGCGUUGUUCGGAGUGACUGGGCGUAAAGAGCACGUAGGCGGUGUUGUAAGUCAUUAGUCAAAGGCUAGAGCUCAACUUUAGUAAGGCUAGUGAUACUAUAAUACUAGAGUAUCAGAGAGGAUUGCAGAAUUCCUGGUGUAGCGGUGAAAUGCGUAGAUAUCAGGAGGAAUACCGGUAGCGAAGGCGGCAAUCUGGCUGGAAACUGACGCUGAGGUGCGAAAGCGUGGGUAGCAAACAGGAUUAGAUACCCUGGUAGUCC